rnacentral:rRNA from 1 species
UUAAGAUACUAAGAGCAUACGGUGGAUGCCUUGGCGAUAUCUGCCGACGAAGGACGUGACAAGCUGCGAAAAGCUGCGGAGAGAUGCAAAUAAUCGGCGACCCGCAGACAUCCGAAUGGAGCAAUCCGGCUGUGAUGAUGCACAGCCAUCCAUGCCCAAGAGCAUGAGAAGGGAACCGGGCGAACUGAAACAUCUAAGUAACCCGAGGAAAAGAAAUCAAACGAGAUACCCCAAGUAGCGGCGAGCGAACAGGGAAGAAGCCCAAACCGGUGAAGGAAACUUUACCGGGGUUGAGGACCAUCAGAACCGCGAAGAACUUUAGCCGAAACUGUUGGGAAACAGUGCCAAAGACAGUGAAAGCCUGGUAGGCGAAAAAGAGAAACGCGGAGAUGGCACCAGAGUACCGCGGGACACGAGAAAUCCCGUGGGAAGCAGGGGGGACCACCCUCCAAGGCAAAACACAGAUAUCGACCGAUAGCGCAUAGUACCAUGAGGGAAAGGUGAAAAGCACCCCGGGAGGGGAAUGAAAGAGAACCUGAAACCGUAUGUUUACAAGCAGUCGGAGACCGCUUAAUAAUAAGGUCGACGGCGUGCCUAUUGAAGAAUGAACCGGCGAGUUACGAAGCCUGGCAAGGUUAAGCAGGAAAUGCGGAGCCGAAGCGAAAGCGAGUCUUAAGAGGGCGCAAGUCAGGAAGCGUAGACCCGAAACCACAGUGAUCUACCCAUGUCCAGGUUGAAACACAGGUAAAAAUGUGUGGAGGACCGAACCUAUAUCCGUUGAAAAGGGUUAGGAUGAGGUGUGGGUAGGGGUGAAAUUCCAAUCGAACGUGGAGAUAGCUGGUUCUCCCCGAAAUAGCUUUAGGGCUAGCCUCAGGGAAAAGAUUGCAGGCGGUAGAGCACUGAUCAGGAGAGGGACCUACCCGGUUACCAAACCCAGUCAAACUCCGAAUGGCUGCAAUCAUACCUGGGAGUCAGACUGCGACUAAUAAGGGCCGUAGUCAAAAGGGAAACAGCCCAGACCAUCAGCUAAGGUCCCCAAUGCCGUGCUAAGUGGCGAAGGAUGUGGCAUUUCAUAAACAACCAGGAUGUUGGCUCAGAAGCAGCCACCAUUUAAAGAGUGCGUAAUAGCUCACUGGUCGAGAGACGCUGCGCCGAAAAUGUCCGGGGCUCAAGCACGGAACCGAAGCUAUGGCAUGAUAGCAAUAUCAUGGGUAGGGGAGCGUUCUUAUAAGGAAGAAGCAUGACCGGAAGGACAUGUGGACGAAUAAGAAGUGAGAAUGCCGGUAUGAGUAUCGAAAAGAAAGGUGAGAAUCCUUUCCACCGAAAGCCCGAGGGUUCCUGAGCAACGAUCGUCGACUCAGGGUAAGUCGGGACCUAAGCCGAGGCGAGAAGCGUAGGCGAUGGACAACAGGUUGAAAUUCCUGUACCGGAUCAAGUCGAUUGAGCGAAGGAGCGACGCAGGAGGGCACAUGAUCGCGCGGCUGGAAGAGCGCGUCCAAGUGCGUAUGUUGCAGCAGAGGAAAACCCCUGCAGCUAAAAGCAGAGACAUGAUGGGGAGUUAAAGGAAACUUUGACGAACUCAUGAAUCCCACACUGCCAAGAAAAACUUCUAGCGAGACAAGAUCCGCCCGUACCGUAAACCGACACAGGUAGGCGGGGAGAGAAUCCUAAGGUGCGCGGGAAAACCCUCGUUAAGGAACUCGGCAAAUUGCAUCCGUAACCUAGGGAGAAGGAUGGCCCCCGGUCAGUGAAGAGCAGAAACGCUCAGAGCUAAAAGGGGCGGCAGAAAAGAGGCCCAAGCAACUGUUUACCAAAAACACAGGUGCCUGCGAAAGCGAAAGCUGAAGUAUAGGUGCUGACGCCUGCCCGGUGCCGGAAGGUUAAGGAGAGAAGUUAGCGAAAGCGAAGCAUCGAACUGAAGCCCCGGUGAACGGCGGCCGUAACUAUAACGGUCCUAAGGUAGCGAAAUUCCUUGUCGGGUAAG